rnacentral:rRNA from 1 species
GACGAACGCUGGCGGCGCGCUUAACACAUGCAAGUCGAGCGAGAACCAGUCCUUCGGGACUGGGGAAAGCGGCGAACGGGUGAGUACCACGUGGGUAAUCUGCCCUCGGCACUGGGAUAGCCCGGGGAAACCCGGAUUAAUACCGGAUAGCCUCUCGAGCCUUCGGGCUCGUCAGAAAAGGUGGCUUCGGCUUCCGGCUGAGGAUGAGCCCGCGGCGGAUUAGCUUGUUGGUGGGGUAAUGGCUCACCAAGGCGACGAUCCGUAGCUGGUCUGAGAGGACGAUCAGCCACACUGGGACUGAGACACGGCCCAGACUCCUACGGGAGGCAGCAGUGGGGAAUCUUGCGCAAUGGGCGAAAGCCUGACGCAGCGACGCCGCGUGCGGGAAGAAGGCCUUCGGGUUGUAAACCGCUUUCAGGAGGGACGAAGCCACUCGGGUUAAUAGCCCAGAGGGUGACGGUACCUCCAGAAGAAGCCCCGGCUAACUACGUGCCAGCCGCCGCCGUAAAAC